UACGUAGGGACCAAGCGUUGUUCGGAUUUACUGGGCGUAAAGGGCGCGUAGGCGGCUAUUCAAGUCAGCUGUGAAAUCUCCGGGCUUAACUCGGAACGGGCAGCUGAUACUGCUUUGCUAGAGUGCAGAAGGGGCAAUCGGAAUUCCCGGUGUAGCGGUGAAAUGCGCAGAUAUCGGGAGGAACACCAGUAGCGAAGGCGGCUCGCUGGGCCGUUCCUGACGCUGAGACGCGAAAGCGAGGGGAGCGAACAGG
rnacentral:rRNA from 1 species